rnacentral:misc_RNA from 1 species
AACCUAGCACACCUGCGGUGUGUACCUGCGGAGGGAUCAUUACCUAGAGUUGUAGGCUUUGCCUGCUAUCUCUUACCCAUGUCUUUUGAGUACCUUACGUUUCCUCGGUGGGUUCGCCCGCCGGUUGGACAAAACUUAAACCCUUUGUAGUUGCAAUCAGCGUCUGAAAAAACUUAAUAGUUACAACUUUUAACAACGGAUCU